rnacentral:rRNA from 1 species
CCCCGGCGCGUUCAGGCCACCCCUCAAAACCCCUUUCUGUGAACCUGCGGAAGGAUCAUUAUCGAGUUGAGGGUCGCCCUCGCGCGCCCGAACCUCCCAACCCUGUGUCUACCACACCUUGUCGUUGCUUCGGCGGACCGGCCGCGCGUUUCGUGACCAACUGGUCGCACGCCGGCCGCCGGGGGCCCGUCGUGCCCCUGGAGAGCGUCCGCCGAUGGCCCAACCACACAAACUCUUGUACCGAAACGUGUCGUCUGAACGAAAAACAAGUGAUUGUAUAAUCAAACACAAAACUUUCAACAACGGAUCUCUUGGUUCUGGCAUCGAUGAAGAACGCAGCGAAAUGCGAUAAGUAAUGCGAAUUGCAGAAUUUCCGUGAGUCAUCGAAUCUUUGAACGCACAUUGCGCCCAUUGGUAUUCCGAUGGGCAUGCCUGUUCGAGCGUCAUUAUCCUCCCUCAAACCUCGCGUUUGGUGUUGGGCUGGGUUGGUCCCUCAGCGACCAACUGGCCUCAAAGACAAUGACGGCGUCCGUGGGACCCUCGGUGCAACGAGCUUCUUCGUGAGCACGCGCCGAGUUGCAAGGACCCUCCGGGCCGGUCUGACCUGUCACUACUUCUCAGGUGACCUCGAUCAGUAGAAACCCGCUGAUA